rnacentral:rRNA from 1 species
UCAAAAGGCCAAACGUCCUGGUCAAGGCCUGUUCUGGUCUGGUCUCUGUUGAUAAGCAGGGCCGGGCCUGGUCAGUACUUGGAUGGGAGACUGCUGUAAAUAUCAGGGCACCAGUGAC